rnacentral:snoRNA from 1 species
GUUCAUGAUGAUCAUUCGUGCGAUUGCACGCUGGAAAUUACCGGCUGAGCAUCUGCUUUGACGAUAUCAAAUUGGCUGUUUCUGAUA